rnacentral:lncRNA from 1 species
UAGCUUGUGUUCAUCUUGUGUGAUUUGUACGUUUAACCGUCGUUGAUUUGUUCUCAUAAUCCGUUUUGGAGUGCUUGUAUUGUGCUUAGUUUUCUUCCGAUUCUUCAGAUGCAACGUCGUAUUUAGUUUACAGUUGUGUCGAUAAGAGAUAGAUCUACCUCUUUUGAUGCGAAAAUGAAUUUCGAUUCUGAGUACCGAUGAAUAUU